CUCUUCUUGUUUAUAUUUGAGGUAUUAUCUGCCCACUGAGGUUUUGAAGGGCCGCGGUAUAUUGACCGUGCAAAGGUAGCAUAAUCAUUAGUCUUUUAAUUGGAGGCUGGAAUGAAUGAUUUGACGAGAAAUAUUCUGUCUUUAAUAAAUUUAUUGAAAUUAAAUUCUUAGUUAAAAUGCUAAGAUUUUUUUAUGGGACGAGAAGACCCUAUAGAAUUUAAUAAAUUUGUUAAUUGUUGGGUUUGUUUUAUUUUACAUUAAUAGAUUUAUUUUGUUGGGGUGAUAGGGAAAUAUAAUUAACUUUCUUUUUUGUUUUACAUUGAUUUAUGAAAUUUUGAUCCAUUUUUUUUGAUUAUAAGAUUAAAUUACCUUAGGGAUAACAGCGUAAUCUUUUUUGAGAGUUCUUAUCGAUAAAGGGGUUUGCGA
rnacentral:rRNA from 1 species